rfam:Salmo salar isolate Sally breed double haploid chromosome ssa15, whole genome shotgun sequence.
UGCUCAGCCAACUGGCAGCAGUCGCUCUGGAUAAGAGCGUCUGCUAAAUGACUUAAA